rnacentral:rRNA from 1 species
GACGAACGCUGGCGGCGUGCUUAACACAUGCAAGUCGAACGGAAAGGCCCUGCUCUUGUGCGGUGCUCGAGUGGCGAACGGGUGUGUAACAUGUGAGUGACCUGCCCUUUACUUUGGGAUAUCUUCAGGAGACUCGGGCUCAUAUAGGGUAGGAGCUCCUGCAGCAUGUUGGGGGUUGUAAAGUUUCGUUGGUUGGGGAUGGAUUCGCGGCUUAUCAGCUUGUUGGUGGGGUAGUGGCUUACCAAGGCUUUGACGGGUAGCCGGCCUGAGAGGGUGACCGGCCACAUUGGGACUGAGAUACGGCCCAGACUCCUACGGGAGGCAGCAGUGGGGAAUAUUGCACAAUGGGCGGAAGCCUGAUGCAGCAACGCCGCGUGCGGGAUGACGGCCUUCGGGUUGUAAACCGCUUUCACCAGGGACGAAGCGUGAGUGACGGUAAUUGGUAAAGAAGCGCCGGCUAACUACGUG